rnacentral:rRNA from 1 species
GACAGAGGGUGCAAACGUUGCUCGGAAUCACUGGGCGUAAAGGGCGCGUAGGCGGGCUGUCAAGUCUGGGGUGAAAUGCCGCGGCUCAACCGUGGAACUGCCUUAGAUACUGACGGCCUCGAGGAAGGUAGGGGCAUGCGGAACUGUAGGUGGAGCGGUGAAAUGCGUUGAUAUCUACAGGAACUCCGGUGGCGAAAGCGGCGUGCUGGACCUCUUCUGACACUGAGGCGCGAAAGCCAGGGGAGCAAACGGG